rnacentral:rRNA from 1 species
UACGAAGGGUGCAAACGUUGCUCGGAAUUAUUGGGCGUAAAGCGCGCGUAGGCGGCUUUUCAAGUCGGAUGUGAAAUCCCUCGGCUUAACCCAGGAAGUGCAUCCGAAACUGGAGAGCUUGAGUACUUAAGAGGAUAGCGGAAUUCCCGGUGUAGAGGUGAAAUUCGUAGAUAUCGGGAGGAACACCAGUGGCGAAGGCGGCGAUCUGGGAAGAUACUGACGCUGAGGUGCGAAAGCGUGGGGAGCAAACAGG